rnacentral:rRNA from 1 species
GACGAACGCUGGCGGCGUGCCUAAUACAUGCAAGUCGAGCGGACUGAUGUGGGGCUUGCUCCAUUGAUGUCAGCGGCGGACGGGUGAGUAACACGUGGGUAACCUGCCUGACAGACUGGGAUAACGCUUGGAAACGAGUGCUAAUACCAGAUAGGCUCUUUGACCGCAUGGUCUUAGAGGGAAAGAAGCUAUCGCUUCACUGUCAGAUGGACCCGCGGCGCAUUAGCUAGUUGGUGAGGUAACGGCUCACCAAGGCGACGAUGCGUAGCCGACCUGAGAGGGUGACCGGCCACACUGGGACUGAGACACGGCCCAGACUCCUACGGGAGGCAGCAGUAGGGAAUCUUCCACAAUGGGCGAAAGCCUGAUGGAGCAACGCCGCGUGAGUGAUGAAGGCCUUCGGGUUGUAAAACUCUGUCUUCUGUGACGAACAAGCCUGUGAGUGGAAAACUCAGGCCCUGACGGUAACAGAGGAGGAAGCCACGGCUAACUACGUGCCAGCCGCCGCCGUAACAC